AACGAACGCUGGCGGCAUGCCUAACACAUGCAAGUCGAACGAGACCUUCGGGUCUAGUGGCGCACGGGUGCGUAACGCGUGGGAACCUGCCCUUAGGUUCGGAAUAACUCCCCGAAAGGGGUGCUAAUACCGGAUAAUGUCUUCGGACCAAAGAUUUAUCGCCUUUGGAUGGGCCCGCGUUGGAUUAGCUAGUUGGUAGGGUAUAAGCCUACCAAGGCGACGAUCCAUAGCUGGUCUGAGAGGAUGAUCAGCCACACUGGGACUGAGACACGGCCCAGACUCCUACGGGAGGCAGCAGUGGGGAAUAUUGGACAAUGGGCGAAAGCCUGAUCCAGCAAUGCCGCGUGAGUGAUGAAGGCCUUAGGGUUGUAAAGCUCUUUUACCCGGGAUGAUAAUGACAGUACCGGGAGAAUAAGCGCCGGCUAACUCCGUG
rnacentral:rRNA from 1 species